GCUGGGCGCAGUGGUGCUCCUGCAGUCCCAGGUCAUGGGGAGGCAGGAGGAUCUCUUGAGCCCAGGAGCUCUGGGCUGUGAUGCUGUAUGUUGAUUGGGUAUCUACACUGAGUUUGGCAUCAAUAUGGUGACCUGGGAGCAGGGGACCACAGCGUUGCUUGAGGAGGAUGAACAAGCCCAGGUCAAAAACAGAGCAGGUCAAAACUCCCAUGCUGAUCAGUGGUGGGAUCGCGCCUACCAGUGGCCACUGCACUCUAGCCUGGGCAACAUCAUAGCAAGACCCUAU
ensembl:misc_RNA Metazoa_SRP Metazoan signal recognition particle RNA